CCUACGGGGGGCAGCAGUGGGGGAUAUUGCACAAUGGGCGCAAGCCUGAUGCAGCCAUGCCGCGUGUGUGAAGAAGGCCUUCGGGUUGUAAAGCACUUUCAGCGGGGAGGAAGGCGGUGAGGUUAAUAACCUCAUCGAUUGACGUUACCCGCAGAAGAAGCACCGGCUAACUCCGUGCCAGCAGCUGCGGUAAUACGGAGGGUGCAAGCGUUAAUCGGAAUUACUGGGCGUAAAGCGCACGCAGGCGGUCUGUCAAGUCGGAUGUGAAAUCCCCGGGCUCAACCUGGGAACUGCAUUCGAAACUGGCAGGCUAGAGUCUUGUAGAGGGGGGUAGAAUUCCAGGUGUAGCGGUGAAAUGCGUAGAGAUCUGGAGGAAUACCGGUGGCGAAGGCGGCCCCCUGGACAAAGACUGACGCUCAGGUGCGAAAGCGUGGGGAGCAAACAGGAUUAGAUACCCGAGUAGUC
rnacentral:rRNA from 1 species